AAGAGACACCAAAGCUCUCUCUCUGCUGUGAGGACACAAGAAAGCACUAUCUGCAAGCCAGGAAGAGGGCUCUCCCAGAUCCCAACCAAGCUAGUGCCCUGAUCUCAGACUUCUAGCCUCUGGAACUUUCCUUGGUAGGGGAAGACCAACAUGGUGGAGAAGUCGGGGAAUCCAUACUUCCUGCCUCUCUCAAACAAAGAAGAGCUGACACCAAAGGACUUUGAACUGAGAGUCUGAGAGGAAAAGAGACUGAGUCAUCAACCAGGGAGAAACUGGGACAACUUGACGGGCCAUAGGUGGUGAUUGUGAACUGAGGAAGAUAAAAUGGGCCACGUGUUAUGCUGAGACCAUGGAUUCCCCCAAGGACCACCAGGAGUCCCAGUCACGCUCAGGAAGGGUCGAAUGCCCUCGUUCUCAGCUGGCUGGAGCAAGGGGAGGAUCAAAGGCUGGAGGGCCCUAGAGGUGGCUUCCUGCUACCUGUCAUGCCACCCCCUCCGGAGACCUGUAAGGGGCCGCCAUUCCAUCUCACCGUGUAGCAAGAAUUUUGCUCUGAAGUCUCCACCAACUACCCCAGGGAGCAGAGGCAAAAAUCUGAGCAGAAAAUGUUGGGCGGUGUUCUUGGUGUGUGGCCCUCCUAUCUGAUGAGAGAAAAGGCCUGCUGUCAUGGCCCACCACUGUGCAGAAAAGAAGGAAAUGGACAUCUGGCAAAGUCAGAAAAAACUCAGAAUGGGAAGAACUUCCCAAGCUCUAUCAGAGGUACUUCUAACCUGCCAAGGCCACCUUCUAGAAGGAGCAGGAGAGGCCUCAUGUACUUUCAUAGAGAGUCAUGGCUACCUCCAAGUUAAGUAUCAUUUUCUCAUCUGUAUCAAAACAUGACUAAGCCAGGAUUCAAACCUGUCAAACUGCAAAGCCUAAGGUAAAUUUUAACCUGUGGCCUAUGAAUGUGAAAAUUUCUGUCUUCUCCCCAUCUACUCCCUAUGGUGGGGAAAGCA